rnacentral:SRP_RNA from 1 species
CGGGCUCUACUACGGAGGGGAUCUGAAGAGUGCGGCGCACAAAGUCACCGAGGGGACCGGCACGGGCUUCAAUUUUCGCUUCUUCCUGCAGUUCACCACCUGGGGCCCCAAA